UUAAAACAGUACGAUUUUGACUCUUAACACUAAUUACAAUGUAUGAAAGUAUAUGGAAUCAAAACCAAUGAAAAUCUAAGUCCUAGACAAUAAAAUACAAUUAUUACAAAAGCUUUUCAUAACAAAAAAAAGUCUUCAAAGGAUCUUCAUGAAUCUUGAUAAAUCUUGACUUGAUUUGGGCAUCAUCAAAACUUCAUCUUCACCAUUUUGCUAACAU
rnacentral:lncRNA from 1 species